rnacentral:rRNA from 1 species
UACGGAGGGUCCAAGCGUUAUCCGGAUUCAUUGGGUUUAAAGGGUCCGUAGGCGGUCUUUUAAGUCAGUGGUGAAAGCCUACAGCUCAACUGUAGAACUGCCAUUGAUACUGGAAGACUUGAGUGUGAUUGAAGUGGGCGGAAUACGUCAUGUAGCGGUGAAAUGCAUAGAUAUGACGUAGAACACCGAUUGCGAAGGCAGCUCACUAAGUCAUAACUGACGCUGAGGGACGAAAGCGUGGGUAGCGAACAGG